UUAGAGUUUUCAAAUUUAAUUUUCUUGGAUUCGAAUUACUUCUUCUCAUGUUUUUUUUUCCUUAACAAUGAUUUGUUCUAUUACAAAUCACAAUAUUUAUUACAAUCGGAUUCUACAAUCACAAAUCUACCUUGUUAAUGAAAAUUUACACAUAAAAAGUAACAAAGAAUAAACAUUUGUUUUUUUCUUCGUUAGGGCUUAACGAUUGUAACCCAUAUUCUUAAAGAAGAUGGACAAUUUAUUGCAAAGAUAUUCCGUGGAAAAGAUACAAGUCUCUUGUACCGUACUGUCAGGUAAGUUUUUUAGAUUAAUUUGUGCUUAUGAAAUUAACUAACUGGUUCUUUUACUGAUAUUAUUUGUUUGUGUUCAUGUGUAGCUGAAAUUGUUUUUCCCAACUAGCUGUGACCAGGGGCGGAUGUAGAGAAAUAUUUUGUUGGGGGCAUAGCUAAAAUUACUUAUAGAUUUAGGGAUAAAUUUGCUAUAAACACAGGGGCAUAACUAAAAUUACUCAUGUUUUACACAGGAUUUUGAAAAAGUACUGGGGGCAGUUGCCCCCUUGUUACAUAACGUGGCUCCGCCACUGGCUGUGACUUUUGCGAAACCUAAAAGCAGCCGCAAUUCUAGUAUAGAGGCUUUUGCGGUCUGCGAGAAUUACUCUCCACCAGAAGAAGGAUUUAACCCGAGAGAUCUGCAUCGUCUCUUGGAGAAAGUCGGAAGCCCUUCAGGUGGAAGCGAUCUCGAUUGCAGCAGUGGUGCUAUCUAAAAAUCUCCGGGAACCAAUGGCCAAUCUCCGAGGACUCCUAACAAGCGUAUCUUCCUACUGCCAACGUUCCUUCUCCCAAUCUAUUCUCAAAUCCCCGAACAACCUCAGUCAAAUCCAAACCCGACAGACACAUCACGACGACGUGGAAACACAGAGUUGUGAUGAAUAUCUUUUAAACCAACAAUAUUUGUGUUCAUGUUUGCUUUGAUUUGGGAUGAGAUUACUUUUGUAGUUAUACGAUUAUUGUCUUAGCGUAUAAACUACUCUCUCCGUUUCAAUAUAAAUGAUGUCUUAGAUAAUUGUUUUUAUUUCACAAUAGAUAAUGUUUUCAUA